rnacentral:lncRNA from 1 species
AAUGAAAAUCCACAUUUGAUUUUUCAAUAGAAAGGUAAGAGAAAGUUUUGAACAUUAUGAAUUUGGAGAUAGACUCAAUCGAAAUUGAAAGGAUGAAUCAAACCCAAUCAAAAGGGAAGAAGGAUUAGGAUUUCUUUGACUUUUAGGAAAAAUUAAGGAAAACAGAACUCAAGGUGCAAGUACAAUAAAAAAGCAGUUCAGUAAUCCGGGAAAGUUUUCAUCUAUUUUGUAUUUGUAGCAUUUUGGCGACAUGGCCGAGUGGUAAGGCAGAGGACUGCAAAUCCUUUUUUCCCCAGUUCAAAUCCGGGUGUCGCCUGAUCAACAAAAAACUGGAAAUCUCUUUUUUUCUUCUGUUGAUAUAACCCGCCGAAUGAUUCGCCAGCAGAAGCAGAGAAAGCAGACUGUUGAUACUUGUUUUGGUCUGGGUGUUUUUAGAAAAAAUUGUAAAUAUCCUUGCAUUGCAUAUUUAGGCUUAGCUUUCAAGUAAAUAUUCGAAUGCUCGAGGGGCUAUCAAGACUUCGCAAUUACCUUCUACUACAAAUCAAAAUUUUCUAUUAUUAAUCCAUUGUAUAAUGACUGGACCUUGGAGAGCCCGAUAGGAAAUCGAAAUAGUUGUGGAAGGGGGCGGAAGAUACUUUAUUAUAUACGAGGAACUCACGAAAAUAUCUCAGUGCUCAAGCAUCCAAUCAAUUCAAAUGAGGGUCAACAAAAAAAGAAUAGGACCUAUUAUUCCUACAUGUUCCAUUAGUAACAUUCCCUUGAGAUGUUACUGCGGAUUUUGCUUGGGUUUAAUCUUUCCCGAUUAUAAAUCAUAUAGAAAUUUCUUAUAAAAUGAGCGAAUUUAUUGGAUUGGUUUAUUAAUAGUCUUCGUUCUUUUUGACUCUGCGCCAUUGAUUCUACUAUUAUUAGUGAGGAAUAAUGGAACAAUUCCUUUAUAUUUAUAGAGAUAGGGGACAUAAUUCAUAUGGAUAUAGUAAGUCUUGCUUGGGCUGCUUUAAUGGUAGUCUUUACUUUUUCCCUUUCACUCGUAGUGUGGGGAAGGAGUGGACUCUAGGGGUUCUGCUAAUUGAGUUAAGGAAGCAAACUGUAUCAUUAUCAAUUGCUUUCUAGAUGGUUCUGCAACACGUUUGGAACAAAAUAAAAAUAUCUUCAUUUUGAAAUUCCAUUGGACUCGACUGGAGUAAUGUAUUAUAGGAAUCAGCCUCUUUCAAUCAAAGAACUAUUUCAACGAUUCCCAUGUUUGUAGUUCGAAAGGAAAAGGAUCCCAGGAAAUUUAUUCGAACCUAAUUCUUACUAAAUUUUCUAUUCCAAUCAAUGGCCUCUUCCUAGGUGAUACUGAGGAGGGCCGGACCCGUUUUUUAUUUGGUUCUCUCUUUACUGUUCAAAGAAAAAGUGGUUUUGUUAAGUGUAUAAGCACUUUGUAUGAGAAAGAAAGGAUAUAAACAUAGUGGUUGUCUAACGAGAUACUAUUUAGAAUAAGAUCGUCAGGUGAGUCACAUAUUGCGCAUUUACCUUUCGAAUUUUGGAAAUUGGAUUUAGACUUUAUCGACUUAUUUCAUAUCAUGGUUCAGGCCUUAAAAAUCAGUGAGGUUUACUCUUCCUUUUCGAUGCCCGUGGAACUACUGUCAAUGGUUUACUUCUUAGGAAUGUUAAAAAAAAAAAGAUUACUACGUGAUUUUUUGAAUAUGCCUAUAUCUAUCGCUUUUGCUUCAUUGAUUUGAUUCUCUCAAUAGAUACUGAGAUUCAUAUUGGAAAUCAAAAAUAUAGUAAUUCAAACUAUAAGACAUAGGAGUAAUUCAGAUUGAUCAGAACAAAUAGAUAUAGCAAAUAAAUGGAAUUGGAUGCUAUGUCAAUCCCAUAUAUGGAAUUGAUAUUCACAUAUAUCAAGAUAAUAUUGUAGAUUGAUAUAUAGAUCCAUAUCAAAUGCAGCCUCUAUCUUUAUUUUAUUCCAGGGGGCAGCUUUAUAACAAGAAUCUAACUAAUAAAUAGUAUGGUAGAAAGAAAUAGAUGAAUCUUUCUACCAUACUAUCUAUCUAUUAGAAUACUGCCGAUUCUAGUCCACUCAUUUCAUUUAAGACAUGAAAUUGGAAUCUUUUUCAUUUUAUUUCGUCAAUUUUGGCUAAGAACUCAGAAGUCAAGUUUCAUUCAAAUUAGUUAAUAAUUAAUCGUUUUGACUGACUGUUUUUACAUAAAUGAUAAGUAGAAAAGCGGUAGGAACUAGAAUAAAUAGUGCAGUAGCAAUAAAUGCAAGAAUAUUUACUUCCAUAAUCUCAUCGGUUUUUUACUUCGCAAUAACUCGGGAUUUAAUCCCAUAGAGAUGAUAAAUCUUUGGCCUGUAAAUUCAAUGAAUGAAUAUUACCUCUCGAUGAUCUUGAAUCAGAUCAAUAUCAUGAAUAACAAUAUCUGAACUAUCAAAUAAAUUCGUCGUCGAGAAUUGAAUAGUAUAACAUAGGAAGUUCUUUUAUCCAUACCGCCCCAAACUCGGAUUGCUGACCUAACCCAAAAUUCCUUUAUUUAUUUAUCAUUUUUUAUUAUCUGUUCUUUUUUUCUCUCUAAUCUAUCUAGUUCCUUCUUGUACAAUCAUCUGAUGAAGUCUCAUCAAAUAGCUCUUCCACUUCCAGUGGUCACAUAGUUACAAACCCAAACAAACAAUAAAAGCUAAAUGGAAAAAGAAAGGAGUUUAGAACGAAACUAUUUUUGACUUGGAAGACAAAGAAGUGUGAUAAAGAUGAGACCGUAUAAAAUGAAUAUUCAUCAAAUUGACUAUUUUCCGAUUUGUUCGGUCGUCGAUGGGGCCUUAAAACAAAAUGAAAAAUAGGAAAAAUGAUUCAUUCGCCUUUCUAAGAGGAGUAGGAUCUUUGGUUGAUCUGUCCUUCCCCCUCCUUUCUUCGUCGAUUAUUAGCCCCGGGACACCUAUACCAAAAGCUCAGUGUGCAAUUUGCAUGAAAUCUAUUUUGCAACUUCAAACUAGUAAGUCAGGUUCCAUAAAUCCGUAGCCAGAAAAAGAAAUUGUUUUUUUUUUUUUUUUGUUUUUUCUGGAAAGUAUUUUCUUAUAUUCAAUUUUGUAUUGGACAACAAAGGAAUUCCUUUUGUGUAUGCGCGCCUCAAAAAAGUAUAGUACUCGAUUCCAUUACAUGCAUCGGGGGCAAUCGAAAAAGCCAGCAUUUCUUGGAAUACUGACUAUAAUGCUACCAAUAAUUGUACUAAUCCAACCGCAUAUGUCUUUCUCCUACCAAAAGGAAAGAAAAAAGAAAUAAGGAUUUCCCCUUUGCUUUGACAAUGGAAUUCUUCCCCCGGUCCCCUUCAGAAAAAGGGAGAGAUUUUUUGAUAUAUUUAUUGGAUCCGUCGGGACUGACGGGGCUCGAACCCGCAGCUUCCGCCUUGACAGGGCGGUGCUCUGACCAAUUGAACUACAAUCCCAGGGAAAUACGGGAUCUAGCAGAAAAUUUGAUUCUUUUUUAUCUCCGGAUCGGGUAUUUCUGAAGUACAAAGGGAGUUAUAUCAUCUCAUGGCGGAUUGGCGAAUUAUUGGGCCGAGCUGGAUUUGAACCAGCGUAGACAUAUUGCCAACGAAUUUACAGUCCGUCCCCAUUAACCGCUCGGGCAUCGACCCAGGAAGAAUCAAUUUUCAACUUAUUGGUAAUCCAUGAUCAAUUUCCUUUCGUAGUACCCUACCCCCAGGGGAAUUCGAAUCCCCGCUGCCUCCUUGAAAGAGAGAUGUCCUAAACCACUAGACGAUGGGGGCCCGCUUGACCAACGGCCAUCAUACUAUGAUGAUAGUAUGAUCCGUUUUUUAAAAUUGUCAAUAUAAUCAAAUGAUUCUAGCCGAGGGAUCUUUCCCCCCUUCAGAAUUGCAUAGAAUUGUUUUUUAUUCGUCAUUGACGAAUUAUUCAUUAGAAUCGACAUUAGAAAUCUAGUAGUAGUAUUUUUUUUAAUUAUUUCAAUUGAAUUUAUUUCUAUUCGAGUCGGUCUUGAAACAAUUCAUUGCAUUUUCUCCUAUACUUCCUAGGUAAAUCCAUUUUAUUAUUCAACAAUGAGCCACUAGACACUAUGUAUCUACUGCACGUACUUAAUGCAUAUAUACUUAUGUUUAUAAUAUAAGUACAUAUAGAUAUUUUAUCCACAUAGUGAAUAAUUCCGGAAUUAAAUAAAAAAGGCCCUUUUAACUCAGUGGUAGAGUAACGCCAUGGUAAGGCGUAAGUCAUCGGUUCAAAUCCGAUAAGGGGCUUUGUAAAACCCCAAUCUAGUAUUCAUAUUUGAUGGGAGAAUUUUCUUUUUAUUUGUAAUAAAAAAAGUAACUAACUGGAUAAUACAUUAUCAUUAUACUUAGUUAUAAAGUUGAACAUUUGUUUAGUCAAUUUUCAUUAGUAUGAAUUUAGGAAUAAUGAAAAGUCACUUCUUGAAUCACCGAAUAUUCCUAUUUUCCAUUAUACCAACCAAAUCGAUUCGAAAGGUUAGAAAUCAACAAAAGAAAAAGUAAAAAGUAAGUGGACCUGACCUAUUGAAUCAUGACUAUAUCCGCUAUUCUGAUAUUAAAAUUCGAUAGAGAUGAAAUUGGAGCAGUUGAUUUUUUUUAUUUCAUUUUUUUGUUUUGGACUCCACAAGAAUUUGUCGAUAUUUCCGAUUAAAUCUUCUUGUUACUAGAUUUUCUAUAGGAAAAAUUAUCGGAAUAAUUUGUUAUUCCUUUCCUCUACAGAGAAACCUUUCUUCCAAGGCACACCAUAAGAGCCAUUUAUUAUUUUUCUUUGAUUCUAGAUCAAAGAUUAAUUUCAUCUAUAUUAUAUAUUAAUUAUAUUAAGUAGAUUGUAGAUUGAUUUCGAUGUAUAUCUAUCAGAUCAUGGCUUCAUGUACCAAAUAUUUCAAUAUCGUUGCAUCCGGUAUUUUUGUUUUGUUCCACCAGUGUGAUGAAGAAUAGAUCCGAGAAAGAGACUUUCAUUUCCAGUCUCCUAUUUAUUUAUUGAAUUUUAGAUUUUCUAAAAGGAAAAAUAGUAGAUUAUCUCU